AUUGAACGCUGGCGGCAGGCUUAACACAUGCAAGUCGAGCGGAAACGAAGAGGAGCUUGCUCCUUUGGCGUCGAGCGGCGGACGGGUGAGUAAUGCUUGGGGAAUAUGCCUUUUGGUGGGAGACAACAGUUGGAAACGACUGCUAAUACCGCAUAAUGUUUACGGACCAAAGCGGGGGACCUUCGGGCCUCGUGCCAAAAGAAUUAGCCCAAGUGAGAUUAGCUAGUUGGUGGGGUAAAGGACCUACCAAGGACGACGAAUCUCUAGCUGGUUUGAGAGGAUGAUCAGCCACACU
rnacentral:rRNA from 1 species